AUACUUACCUGGCAGGGGAGAUACCAUGAUCAGGAAGGUGGUUUUCCCAGGGUGAGGCCCAUCCGUUGCACUCAGGAUGUGCUGACCCUUGCGAUUUCCCCAAGUGCGGGAAACUCGACUGCAAAAUUUGUGGUAGUGGGGGGCUGCGUUCGCGCUUUCCCCUA
ensembl:snRNA U1 U1 spliceosomal RNA